rnacentral:rRNA from 1 species
CCUACGGGAGGCAGCAGUGAGGAAUAUUGGUCAAUGGACGAGAGUCUGAACCAGCCAAGUAGCGUGAAGGAUGACUGCCCUAUGGGUUGUAAACUUCUUUUAUAUGGGAAUAAAACGUUCCACGUGUGGGAUUUUGUAUGUACCAUAUGAAUAAGGAUCGGCUAACUCCGUGCCAGCAGCCGCGGUAAUCCGGAGGAUCCGAGCGUUAUCCGGAUUUAUUGGGUUGAAAGGGAGCGUAGGUGGAUUGUUAAGUCAGUUGUGAAAGUUUGCGGCUCAACCGUAAAAUUGCAGUUGAAACUGGCAGUCUUGAGUACAGUAGAGGUGGGCGGAAUUCGUGGUGUAGCGGUGAAAUGCUUAGAUAUCACGAAGAACUCCGAUUGCGAAGGCAGUUCACUGGACUGCAACUGACACUGAGGCUCGAAAGUGUGGGUAUCAAACAGGAUUAGAUACCCUGGUAGUC